rnacentral:rRNA from 1 species
CCUACGGGAGGCAGCAGUGAGGAAUAUUGGUCAAUGGGCGCAGGCCUGAACCAGCCAAGUCGCGUGAGGGAAGACUGCCCUAUGGUUUGUAACCCUCUUUUAUAAGGGAAGAAUAAUGACUACGUGUAGUCAGAUGCCCGUACCUUAUGAAUAAGCAUCGGCUAACUCCGUGCCAGCAGCCGCGGUAAUACGGAGGAUGCGAGCGUUAUCCGGAUUUAUGGGGUUUAAAGGGUGCGUAGGCGGUAUUUUAAGUUAGUGGUAAAACGUCGGGGCUUAAACUUGAGUCGCCAUUAAAACAGGAGAAUAAGAGUAAAGAAGAGGUAGGCGGAAUAAUUAAAG